rnacentral:rRNA from 1 species
AUUGAACGCUGGCGGCAUGCCUUACACAUGCAAGUCGAACGGCAGCGCGGGAGCAAUCCUGGCGGCGAGUGGCGAACGGGUGAGUAAAGCAUCGGAACGUGCCCUGGAGUGGGGGAUAACGUAGCGAAAGUUACGCUAAUACCGCAUAUUCUGUGAGCAGUAAAGCAGGGGAUCGCAAGACCUUGCGCUUUAGGAGCGGCCGAUGUCGGAUUAGCUAGUUGGUGAGGUAAAGGCUCACCAAGGCGACAAUCCGUAGCGGGUCUGAGAGGAUGAUCGGCCACACUGGGACUGAGAUACGGACCAGCGUCCUACGGGAGGCAGCAGUGGGGAAUUUUGGACAAUGGGCGCAAGCCUGAUCCAGCCAUGCCGCGUGAGUGAAGAAGGCCUUCGGGUUGUAAAGCUCUUUCGGUGGGGAAGAAAUUGCUUAGGCUAAUAUCCUGAGUAGAUGACGGUACCCGCAUAAGAAGCACCGGCUAACUACGUGCCAGCCGCCGCGGUAA